UACAGAGGCCCCAAGCAUUAUCCGGAAUCACUGGGCGUAAAGGGUGUCAAGGCGGUUAUGUUAGUCGUUCGUUAAAUCUGGGGGCUCAACCUCCAGCCUGCGAGCGAAACGGCAUAACUUGAGGUAGGGAGAGGUGCGUGGAACUCACGGUGUAGGGGUGAAAUCCGUUGAUAUCGUGGGGAACACCAAAGGCGAAGGCAGCGCACUGGCCCUAUUCUGACGCUCACACACGAAAGCCAGGGUAGCGAAUGGG
rnacentral:misc_RNA from 1 species